CACGUAGUUAGCCGGUGCUUAUUCUUACGGUACCGUCAUGGGCCUCUCGUAUUAGGAGAAGCUUUUUCGUUCCGUACAAAAGCAGUUUACAACCCGAAGGCCUUCAUCCUGCACGCGGCAUUGCUGGAUCAGGCUUUCGCCCAUUGUCCAAAAUUCCCCACUGCUGCCUCCCCGUAGGAGUCUGGGCCGUGUCUCAGUCCCAGUGUGGCUGGUCGUCCUCUCAGACCAGCUACAGAUCGUCGGCUUGGUAAGCUUUUAUCCCACCAACUACCUAAUCUGCCAUCGGCCGCUCCAAUCGCGCGAGGCCCGAAGGUCCCCCGCUUUCAUCCUCAGAUCGUAUGCGGUAUUAGCUACUCUUUCGAGUUAGUUACUCCCCCACGACUGGGCACGUUCCGAUGUAUUACUCACCCGUUCGCCACUCGUCAGCGUCCGAAGCCUGUUACCGUUCGACUUGCAUGUGUAAGCAUGCCGCAGCGUUUCAAUCUGAGCCGAAGGAUACAAAACUUCCU
rnacentral:rRNA from 1 species